rnacentral:rRNA from 1 species
GAUGAACGCUGGCGGCGUGCCUAAUACAUGCAAGUCGAGCGAAUGGAUUAAGAGCUUGCUCUUAUGAAGUUAGCGGCGGACGGGUGAGUAACACGUGGGUAACCUGCCCAUAAGACUGGGAUAACUCCGGGAAACCGGGGCUAAUACCGGAUAACAUUUUGAACCGCAUGGUUCGAAAUUGAAAGGCGGCUUCGGCUGUCACUUAUGGAUGGACCCGCGUCGCAUUAGCUAGUUGGUGAGGUAACGGCUCACCAAGGCAACGAUGCGUAGCCGACCUGAGAGGGUGAGCGGCCACACGGGGACUGGGACACGGCCCAGACUCCUACGGGAGGCAGCAGUAGGGAAGCUUCCGCAAUGGACGAAAGUCUGACGGAGCAACGCCGCGUGAGUGAUGAAGGCUUUCGGGUCGUAAAACUCUGUUGUUAGGGAAGAACAAGUGCUAGUUGAAUAAGCUGGCACCUUGACGGUACCUAACCAGAAAGCCACGGCUAACUACGUGCCAGCCGCCGCGGUAA